rnacentral:sRNA from 1 species
AGGGGUGCGAGCGGCGGCGGCCAUGGACGACGAGGAGGAGACGUACCGGCUCUGGAAAAUCCGCAAGACCAUCAUGCAGCUGUGCCACGACCGUGGCUACCUGGUGACCCAGGACGAGCUUGACCAGACCCUGGAGGAGUUCAAAGCCCAAUUUGGGGACAAGCCGAGUGAGGGGCGGCCGCGGCGCACGGACCUCACCGUGCUGGUGGCCCACAACGAUGACCCCACCGACCAGAUGUUUGUGUUCUUUCCAGGUGAGCAGCGGGUCCCGGGGGAGUUCCGGUGGAGCCACCCGAGCACCUGCCGAGGAGCCGGCUGCUAGCACCCACCCCCCACUCGCCUGGUGCCCAGCAUUUGUCUCUCUGCUCAGGCUGGGAGGAAAACUCCCCUCCCCUUCCUUGCUGUGGGCGAUGCCGUUGACCUCUGACC